AUGUCGCCCCACCUCGGCAGCCGGCGCAGCUCCACGCGAGGCCACCAACACACACCCGUCCGCCGGCAAGGAAAACCCCACGGUCCGCUGCCGACCACCAAGAAAGCUCACCGGGGAGCCCAUCCGCGCUGCCCGCCGCCGCCCAACCACCGGAGCACCUGGAGCCGGCGAGCCUGCCCACCGACCUGCCGCUGCUGCGACGCUGCAGCCCGUGCCGCCCUCAGCCCGCGUCGCCCGGCCCCAGAUCCAGCCGCGCCGUCGCCGAUCUCGGAGAGCCGAGCACGCACCAACACCUGGCCGCCCGCCGAGGGGGAGCAGAGGCACCGUAGCUCCGCCUCUGCCCGCUGCACCGCCGUGUCGCCCGGCACAGCUCCACGCUCCGACCCGAGGCGCCGGCCCGCGCCAGCACCGCCCGAGCAGGAGGACGACGAGGCCCCGCCGCCGCCGGCGACGGCUAGGCUUUGCCCAGCCGCGCCCACGGGCGGCGGCGAGGGAGGGGGAGGGGAGAGGGGGCAGAGACCGGCGGGAUUUAGGGUUGCCCCCCGGUCGCCUCGCGGGAGCGACGCGAGGGGAGGAGGACUCCUUCGGGGGUUGGGUUUCGGGACCUCGUCCUCUGCUGCUAUAUAUAGGCGCAUCGCCCGUUCUCCUCUUGUGCGGCACACAAGAUCGAUAAUGUUGGCAGGAGCAUGGCGCCACCAUGGAUGCGGAAUGGGAGGCAAACCAACAAGGGCAGGCUGCUUGCUCCUUGGAAUGGGAGGAAUCUGA
rnacentral:rRNA from 1 species